rnacentral:hammerhead_ribozyme from 1 species
AUCUAGCAGUAGAAUCCAGGACGGGAGUUUCGUCCUAUUUGGGAUUCAUUAGCUUGCUGCAACUUCACUCAAAUAGGACUAAACGCGCGUCCUGGAU